rnacentral:misc_RNA from 1 species
AACGCACAUUGCGCUCUCUGGUAUUCCGGAGAGCAUGCCUGUUUGAGCGUCAUUAAAACCCCUCAAUCGUUCUUGAAUGUUUCGGCGUUUGUAGAGUGAUUGGUACUGGACAUUGUGCGCGGGACCUUCGCGGUGCUGUGCUUGUCUGAAAGAUAUUGCAAUGAAAACGUAAUAAGAAAUUAUACUGUCGUGAUCAUUUUUGCAAGACAAAACCGGAAGUCGUGAAAAACUUUCUUCUAAUUUUGACCUCAAAUCAGGUAGGACUACGCGCUGAACUUAA